CGCCUUCGACCUGCCAAGUAGCCAUUAACAUGAAUACUAUCAUUCUGAUAACACUUUGCGCUCUAGUUCGGGGGGACAGGAUCGUCAGUCCACUCCAGCCGCUCUCAACAGGAUUCCCAACAAGCUUGUCUCUUGGUGACGACACAGCAGCGACAUGCGUGGUCAAAAGAACGGUAGGGAAGUCAUAUCGUAUAUUUUGGGAGAAAACGGGGGAAGAGAUAUUGUCUGGAGGAAGAAUAGGUGUCUACAAGACAUCCGAAACGAGAUCUACGUUGAACAUCGAAAGCAUCCAACCAGAGGACAUUGGAAACUAUUCCUGCGUUGCGCUCAUUUCUGAUGGAAGGCGAUAUGACGUCACCGUAUCGCUCACUGUCACAGUGGCCAACUUGUGACAGAAUGGUAGAAGUGCGGGGUAGUUCGCAAACACAAGCAGCCAAGACGACGACGACGAACGAAAGUAUGCACCACAACUACUAACUUACAACUCAAAGAUUUAUUAUGUGA